rnacentral:rRNA from 1 species
GACGGGACCGCACAAGCGGUGGAUGAUGUGGUUAAUUCGAUGCAACGCGAAAACCUUACCACCUUUGACAUGUACGGAAUCCUUUAGAGAUAGAGGAGUGCUCGAAAGAGAGCCGUAACACAGGUGCUGCAUGGCUGUCGUCAGCUCGUGUCGUGAGAUGUUGGGUUAAGUCCCGCAACGAGCGCAACCCUUGUCAUUAGUUGCUACAUUCAGUUGGGCACUCUAAUGAGACUGCCGGUGACAAACCGGAGGAAGGUGGGGAUGACGUCAAGUCCUCAUGGCCCUUAUAGGUGGGGCUACACACGUCAUACAAUGGAUGGUACAAAGGGUCGCCAACCCGCGAGGGGGAGCCAAUCCCAUAAAGCCAGUCGUAGUCCGGAUCGUAGUCUGCAACUCGACUACGUGAAGUCGGAAUCGCUAGUAAUCGUGGAUCAGAAUGUCACGGUGAAUACGUUCCCGGGUCUUGU